AUGCCGUCGCCGAAUGACCCGCCCGCGGCGUUGCCCCUCACCCUCGACCUCGAGGACUUCAAGGGGGAUUUUUCCUUCGACGCGCUCUUCGGGAGCCUGGUGGAUGAGCUUCUGCCGGAGUUCCACGGGGACGAUGCGGCAGGGGUACCCCCGCCGCCGCCGCCCCUGCUCGGGGCCGCGCCACCCGUUUUCCCCGCGGUCGACGAGCUUCUCGGGCUCUUCAAGCAUUCCUGCAAGGAACUUGUCGACUUGCGUCGUCAGAUUGAUAAGAGGCUCCAAAAUCUGAAGAAAGAGGUGGCUACACAGGACGCCAAGCAUCGCAAGACACUCGGGGAGCUUGAGAAAGGUGUGGACGGUUUAUUUGAUAGCUUUGCUAGGUUGGAUUCUCGAAUCUCCAGUGUCGGGCAAACUGCUGCCAAAAUUGGUGACCAUCUACAGAGUGCAGAAUCUCAGAGGGAAACUGCCAGUCAGACGAUUGAUCUCAUCAAGUAUUUGAUGGAAUUCAACAGCACACCUGGGGACCUUAUGGAACUUUCUCCUUUAUUUUCCGAUGACAGCCGUGUUGCUGAGGCUGCUUCAAUUGCACAGAAAUUGCGAUCGUUUGCUGAGGAGGAUGUUGGAAGGCAUGGUGUCACGUCGGCAGUAGGUUCUGCUAAUGCAAGCCGUGGUUUGGAGGUUGCAGUUGCAAAUCUUCAAGAAUAUUGCAAUGAACUGGAGAAUAGAUUAUUAUCUCGGUUUGAUACUGCAUCACAGAGACGAGAGUUGUCUACAAUGGCAGAAUGUGCAAAAAUUUUGUCGCAGUUCAAUCGGGGAACCAGUGCCAUGCAACACUAUGUUGCAACACGACCAAUGUUCAUUGAUGUGGAAAUUAUGAAUACUGAUAUUCAAGUUGUUCUUGGUGACGAUGGUCCCCAAGCUGACUCCAGUAGUAUAGCAGAGGGUCUCUCUAUCUUGUACAAGGAAAUUGCUGAUACUGUGAGAAAAGAGGCAACUACAAUAAUGGCUGUCUUUCCUUCUCCGAAUGAGGUCAUGUCAAUUCUUGUGCAGCGAGUGUUAGAACAAAGGGUCACAGCAAUUCUUGAUAAACUUUUGAUAAGGCCUUCUCUUGCUAGCUUGCCUCCAAUAGAAGAAGGUGGCCUUCUACAUUAUCUGAGAGUUCUGUCAGUAGCAUAUGACAAGACAAAAGAGCUUGCCAAAGAGUUGCAGUCUAUCGGCUGUGGGGAUUUGGAUAUUGAAGGUCUCACUGAGUCUAUAUAUGUUUCCCACAAAGACGAGUACACGGAAUUCGAGCAUGCAUCACUCAGACAGCUAUAUCAAUCAAAGAUGGCUGAAUUAAGAGCCGAGGCCAAGCAACAAUCUGAAUCAACUGGGUCAAUUGGCCGUGCAAAAGGAGCAUCCUUGAAUACCUCACCCCAGCAGCUGAUCUCAGUUACUGUAGUGACCGAAUUUGUUCGUUGGAAUGAGGAAGCAAUAUCGAGAUGCACACUGUUGUUUUCUCAGCCUACUACUGUUGCAGCUAAUGUCAGAUCCAUAUUUGCGUGUUUGCUUGAUCAAGUCAGCCAAUAUUUAACUGUUGGGCUUGACGGUGCUAGAGAGAGUUUGAACGAGGCUGCAGCUAUGAGGGAUAGAUAUGUUAUUGGGACAAGUGUUAGUAGAAGGGUUGCCGCGGCUGCUGCUUCUGCUGCAGAGGCGGCGGCUGCUGCUGGUGAGAGUAGCUUUAGAUCCUUCAUGAUCGCUGUGCAGCGUUGUGCCAGUAGUGUAGCUUAUCUUCAGCAGUACUUCUCAAAUACUAUAUCACGUCUCCUGCUGCCUGUCGAUGGUGCCCAUCCAUCUGCUUGUGAAGAUAUGGGAUCGGCAGUAUCUGUUGUGGAGGCUGCUGCUCAUAAAGGACUGUUACAAUGCAUUGAUACAGUCAUGUGUGAGGUUGAAAGAUUGUUAUCUUCAGAACAGAAAGCAACAGAUUAUCGGUCACCAGAUGAUGGAGCUGCACCAGAUCAUCGGCCAACAAAUGCUUGCAUAAGAAUUGUAGCCUACCUUUCUCGUGUUCUCGAGGUUGCAUUCAGCGCCCUGGAAGGUCUAAACAAACAGUCCUUUUUGACUGAAUUGGGAAACCGCUUGCACAAGGGUCUGCUUAAUCAUUGGCAGAAGUUCACAUUUAGUCCGAGUGGUGGGCUACGGUUGAAACGUGACAUUACUGAGUAUGGUGAGUUUGUCCGUAGCUUCAAUGCCCCUUCCAUAGACGAGAAGUUUGAACUGCUUGGAAUCAUGGCUAAUGUCUUUAUUGUUGCUCCGGAAAGUCUAGCUUCCUUGUUUGAAGGAACCCCCAGCAUCCGGAAGGAUGCUUUACGGUUCAUUCAACUCCGGGAUGACUACAAGACAGCAAAAAUUGCUUCGAUGCUUAACAGUAUAGUGUCUGAAUAA
rnacentral:rRNA from 1 species